rnacentral:rRNA from 1 species
GACGAACCGUGCGAACGUUAUUCGGAAUCACUGGGCUUAAAGCGCGUGUAGGCGGGACGGCACGUCGGCCGCUGAAAUCCCCCGGCUCAACCGGGGAAGGGGCGCCGAUACGACCGGCCUGGAGGGACGUAGGGGGGGCUGGAACUUCCGGUGGAGCGGUGAAAUGCGUAGAUAUCGUUUGGAACGCCAAUGGUGAAAACAGGUUGCUGGGAGUGCGCUGACGCUGAGACACGAAAGCCAGGGGAGCGAACGGG